CACAUCGCUGACGAGUGGCGGACGGGUGAGUAAUGCUUGGGAACUUGCCUUUGCGAGGGGGAUAACAGUUGGAAACGACUGCUAAUACCGCAUAAUGUCUUCGGACCAAACGGGGCUUAGGCUCCGGCGCAAAGAGAGGCCCAAGUGAGAUUAGCUAGUUGGUAAGGUAAUGGCUUACCAAGGCGACGAUCUCUAGCUGUUCUGAGAGGAAGAUCAGCCACACUGGGACUGAGACACGGCCCAGACUCCUACGGGAGGCAGCAGUGGGGAAUAUUGCACAAUGGGGGAAACCCUGAUGCAGCCAUGCCGCGUGUGUGAAGAAGGCCUUCGGGUUGUAAAGCACUUUCAGUUGUGAGGAAAAGUUAGUAGUUAAUACCUGCUAGCCGUGACGUUAACAACAGAAGAAGCACCGGCUAACUCCGUGCCAGCAGCCGCGGUAAUACGGAGGGUGCGAGCGUUAAUCGGAAUUACUGGGCGUAAAGCGCACGCAGGCGGUUUGUUAAGCUAGAUGUGAAAGCCCCGGGCUCAACCUGGGAUGGUCAUUUAGAACUGGCAGACUAGAGUCUUGGAGAGGGGAGUGGAAUUCCAGGUGUAGCGGUGA
rnacentral:rRNA from 1 species